rnacentral:pre_miRNA from 1 species
AUAAGGGUCACCUGGGGAUCUCUUUAAAAUGCAGAUUCUAAUUCAGUGGGACUUGGUGGAACUUGAGAUUCUGCAUUGCUAACAAGCUCCUAGGUGAUCCCAGU